UACAGAGGUCUCAAGCGUUGUUCGGAUUCAUUGGGCGUAAAGGGUGCGUAGGCGGCGCGGUAAGUCGGGUGUGAAAUUUCGAGGCUUAACUUCGAAACUGCAUUCGAUACUGCCGUGCUAGAGGACUGGAGAGGAGACUGGAAUUUACGGUGUAGCGGUGAAAUGCGUAGAUAUCGUAAGGAAGACCAGUGGCGAAGGCGGGUCUCUGGACAGUUCCUGACGCUGAGGCACGAAGGCCAGGGGAGCAAGCGGG
rnacentral:rRNA from 1 species